rnacentral:rRNA from 1 species
AGCGAACGCUGGCGGCAGGCCUAACACAUGCAAGUCGAACGAACUCUUCGGAGUUAGUGGCGGACGGGUGAGUAACACGUGGGAACGUGCCUUUUGGUUCGGAAUAACUCAGGGAAACUUGUGCUAAUACCGCAUGUGCCCUUCGGGGGUAAGAUUUAUCGCCAUUAGAGCGGCCCGCGUCUGAUUAGCUGGUUGGUGAGGUAACGGCUCACCAAGGCGAGGAUCAGUAGCUGGUCUGAGAGGAUGACCAGCCACACUGGGACUGAGACACGGCCCAGACUCCUACGGGAGGCAGCAGUGGGGAAUCUUGCGCAAGGGGCGAAAGUCUGACGCAGCCAUGCCGGGUGAAUGAUGAAGGGCUUAGGAUUGUAAAAUUCUUUCACCGGGGACGAUAAUGACGGUACCCGGAGAAGAAGCCCCGGCUAACUUCGUG